rnacentral:rRNA from 1 species
UACGUAGGGUGCAAGCGUUGUCCGGAAUUAUUGGGCGUAAAGAGCUCGUAGGCGGUCUGUCGCGUCUGCUGUGAAACUCAGGGCUUAACCCUGAGCUUGCAGUGGGUACGGGCAGACUAGAGUGCGGUAGGGGAGACUGGAAUUCCUGGUGUAGCGGUGAAAUGCGCCAGAUAUCAGGAGGAACACCGGUGGCGAAGGCGGGUCUCUGGGCCGUAACUGACGCUGAGGAGCGAAAGCCAUGGGAGCGAACAGG